AUUGAACGCUGGCGGCAGGCCUAACACAUGCAAGUCGAACGAGUGGCGGACGGGUGAGUAAUGUCUGGGAAACUGCCCGAUGGAGGGGGAUAACUAAUGGAAACGGUAGCUAAUACCGCAUACGAUCGGAGGUGCCCCGAUGGGAUUAGCUUUUAGGUGAGGUAACGGCUCACCUAGGCGACGAUCCCUAGAUGGUCUGAGAGGAUGACCAGCCAAACGGGAACUGAGACACGGUCCAGACUCCUACGGGAGGCAGCAGUGGGGAAUAUUGCACAAUGGGAGCAAGCCUGAUGCAGCCAUGCCGGGGGUAUGAAGAAGGCCUUCGGGUUGUAAAGUACUUUCAGCGGGGAGGCGUUACCCGCAGAAGAAGCACCGGCUAACUCCGUGCCAGCAGCCGCGGUAAUUC
rnacentral:rRNA from 1 species